rnacentral:rRNA from 1 species
AGAAUUUGAUCAUGUGUCAAAUUGAGCGUUGGGGGCAGGCCUAACACAUGCAAGUCGAGCGGAUGACAGGAGCUUGCUCCUGGAUUCAGCGGCGGACGGGUGAGUAAUGCCUAGGAAUCUGCCUGGUAGUGGGGGACAACGUUUCGAAAGGAACGCUAAUACCGCAUACGUCCUACGGGAGAAAGCAGGGGACCUUCGGGCCUUGCGCUAUCAGAUGAGCCUAGGUCGGAUUAGCUUGUUGGUGAGGUAAUGGCUCACCAAGGCGACGAUCCGUAACUGGUCUGAGAGGAUGAUCAGCCACACUGGAACUGAGACACGGUCCAGACUCCUACGGGAGGCAGC